AAGUGAAAAUCUCGUCCGAUCUGUAAGUUAGGUACUUGGAUCGGAGACGGCCUGGGAAUCCCAGGUGUUGUAGACAUAUUUUUGGUGUUUUUUAUCUUUUUAUUAUGCUAAUACAUGAUGAAAAAGAUUUAUUA
rnacentral:rRNA from 1 species